AUCACUUCUUGGCCUUUGGCUAAGAUCGAGUGUAGUAUCUGUUUUUUUGGUUCCUUAUAAGACUAUACCUACACUUAGCUUAUGGUUCGCAAUCACUCCUU
rnacentral:snRNA from 1 species